GCCGGAAUCGCUAGUAAUCGCGGAUCAGAAUGCCGCGGUGAAUACGUUCCCGGGUCUUGUACACACCGCCCGUCACACCAUGGGAGUCGGGAAUGCCCGAAGUCAGUGACCCAACCCAAGGGAGGGAGCUGCCGAAGGCAGGCCUGGUGACUGGGGUGAAGUCGUAACAAGGUAUC
rnacentral:rRNA from 1 species